GAUGAACGCUAGCGGCAGGCUUAAUACAUGCAAGUCGUGGGGCAGCAGGGGUGUAGCAAUACAUCUGCUGGCGACCGGCAAACGGGUGCGUAACACGUACGCAACCUUCCCGUUACUGUGGCAUAGCCCAGGGAAACUUGGAUUAAUACCACAUAUUAUAUAGAGAGGGCAUCCUUUUUAUAUCAAAGCUUCGGCGGUAAAGGAUGGGCGUGCGGUUGAUUAGGUAGUUGGCGGGGUAACGGGCCACCAAGCCUACGAUCAAUAGCUGAUGUGAGAGCAUGAUCAGCCACACGGGCACUGAGACACGGGCCCGACUCCUACGGGAGGCAGCAGUAAGGAAUAUUGGGCAAUGGACGAAAGUCUGACCCAGCCAUGCCGCGUGAAGGAUUAAGGUCCUCUGGAUUGUAAACUUCUUUUCUCUGGGGCGAAAACCAGCUAUUCUUAGCUAUUUGACAGUACCAGAGGAAUAAGCACUGGCUAACUCCGUGCCAGCCGCCGCAGUAAUAC
rnacentral:rRNA from 1 species